AUUCACUUGACUGCAUAUAUACUAUAACCAGAAGACUACACAGAAGGUUGGUAUGGCCACUGCAUGAUGAUGAUACACAAAUUCAUGAAGUAGUCCAUAUUUGU
ensembl:snRNA U6 U6 spliceosomal RNA